AAAUUGAAGAGUUUGAUCAUGGCUCAGAUUGAACGCUGGCGGCAGGCUUAACACAUGCAAGUCGAGCGGAAACGAGUUAUCUGAACCUUCGGGGAACGAUAAGGGCGUCGAGCGGCGGACGGGUGAGUAAUGCCUAGGAAAUUGCCCUGAUGUGGGGGAUAACCAUUGGAAACGAUGGCUAAUACCGCAUGAUGCCUACGGGCCAAAGAGGGGGACCUUCGGGCCUCUCGCGUCAGGAUAUGCCUAGGUGGGAUUAGCUAGUUGGUGAGGUAAGGGCUCACCAAGGCGACGAUCCCUAGCUGGUCUGAGAGGAUGAUCAGCCACACUGGAACUGAGACACGGUCCAGACUCCUACGGGAGGCAGCAGUGGGGAAUAUUGCACAAUGGGCGCAAGCCUGAUGCAGCCAUGCCGCGUGUGUGAAGAAGGCCUUCGGGUUGUAAAGCACUUUCAGUCGUGAGGAAGGUAGUGUAGUUAAUAGCUGCAUUAUUUGACGUUAGCGACAGAAGAAGCACCGGCUAACUCCGUGCCAGCAGCCGCGGUAAUACGGAGGGUGCGAGCGUUAAUCGGAAUUACUGGGCGUAAAGCGCAUGCAGGUGGUUUGUUAAGUCAGAUGUGAAAGCCCGGGGCUCAACCUCGGAAUUGCAUUUGAAACUGGCAGACUAGAGUACUGUAGAGGGGGGUAGAAUUUCAGGUGUAGCGGUGAAAUGCGUAGAGAUCUGAAGGAAUACCGGUGGCGAAGGCGGCCCCCUGGACAGAUACUGACACUCAGAUGCGAAAGCGUGGGGAGCAAACAGGAUUAGAUACCCUGGUAGUCCACGCCGUAAACGAUGUCUACUUGGAGGUUGUGGCCUUGAGCCGUGGCUUUCGGAGCUAACGCGUUAAGUAGACCGCCUGGGGAGUACGGUCGCAAGAUUAAAACUCAAAUGAAUUGACGGGGGCCCGCACAAGCGGUGGAGCAUGUGGUUUAAUUCGAUGCAACGCGAAGAACCUUACCUACUCUUGACAUCCAGAGAACUUUCCAGAGAUGGAUUGGUGCCUUCGGGAACUCUGAGACAGGUGCUGCAUGGCUGUCGUCAGCUCGUGUUGUGAAAUGUUGGGUUAAGUCCCGCAACGAGCGCAACCCUUAUCCUUGUUUGCCAGCGAGUAAUGUCGGGAACUCCAGGAGACUGCCGGUGAUAAACCGGAGGAAGGUGGGGACGACGUCAAGUCAUCAUGGCCCUUACGAGUAGGGCUACACACGUGCUACAAUGGCGCAUACAGAGGGCGGCCAACUUGCGAAAGUGAGCGAAUCCCAAAAAGUGCGUCGUAGUCCGGAUUGGAGUCUGCAACUCGACUCCAUGAAGUCGGAAUCGCUAGUAAUCGUGGAUCAGAAUGCCACGGUGAAUACGUUCCCGGGCCUUGUACACACCGCCCGUCACACCAUGGGAGUGGGCUGCAAAAGAAGUAGGUAGUUUAACCUUCGGGGGGACGCUUACCACUUUGUGGUUCAUGACUGGGGUGAAGUCGUAACAAGGUAGCGCUAGGGGAACCUGGCGCUGGAUCACCUCCUUA
rnacentral:rRNA from 1 species